ACACGCGUGGUUUCAGUUGUUGUUCUUAUAUAUAUUUUUGUAAAUGUAGAUAUUUUGGAAAGAAUUCGUCGGCUUGGUGCGUUUACCUGAGUGUCAAUGUUAAAGCACAGAUUAAAAGAAGCUACCUUAAUUACGUUUCUUACUUUAACAAGUUAAAUGUUGAAAAACUAUUAACAUUUAAGAUGGGCAGCUACCGCACAAAAUUAAGUCGCGCUGGAUCUCAGGAAGUUGCUGUAAAUUCUGGAAAGAGGAGUAAAAACAACCCCCAAAAAGAUGCCCCUCACACGAACAUCAAAAGACCAAAAAGGGCAGAGAUUAAUUUCCUUCCAAAUUUCCCAAGAGAUGAAGAUGUUUCAAGCCUCGAACAACAAAGACAAAGAAUUAUAGAUGAAGUUCAGAUGACUGACAAAAAUCUCGUCCUGAUCACAAAGUUAAUGCACAGCACUUUUGUUUUGCGGCGCAAAGAGAUCGUCAGUUAAUGAAAUCCUGAAACGAUGGCCGGCUCUUAAAUUAGAGUCUCAGAUCUGUGCUGAGUUUUCACCCUAAAGAAUCGUUUCUUUGCUCAACUGGACCAACAUACCCCCCCGGCUUCAGAGCCGUUUCAGAAAAAAGCUUCUGAACUCCUGGAUCAGCUCUUCAGGAUUUAUGACCUCCAGCUCAGUUGGUUACAAUUCUUAAUGCCUGGUGGAGCAGUCUGAUGAACCGAACAUCAGUGAUGUACCACUUGGGCUCCUCCUAAGCGAUCACACAUCAUCAGAUGCACAUUUUUUUCUGCCCAGAGAGGAUUGCAGUUCUGAUUGAGGGAAACAUUGUUAUUGAGUCCUCCACACUGGCUGAUGCAUUCGUCAUUCUCUCUUUGCA